rnacentral:rRNA from 1 species
GACGAACGCUGGCGGCGUGCUUAACACAUGCAAGUAGAACGAAGUGGCGAACGGGGGAGUAAUACGUGGGUAACCUGCCCUCAUUUUUGGGAUAAGCCUUGGAAACGGGGUCUAAUACCGAAUAAAGGGGGAUGGGCUCGCGGCCUAUCAGCUUGUUGGGGGGGUGAUGGCCUACAACGGCGGUGACGGGUAUCCGGCCUGAGAGGGUGACCUGCCACAGUGGGACUUGGUGACGGCCGAUACUCGUACUGGAGGAAGCCGUGGGGUAUAUUGCACGUUGGGCGAACGCCUGAUGCAUCGACGCCGCGUGGGGGAUGAAGGUUUUCGGGUUGUAACCCGCUUGCGCUAGCUAUCGGCUAGGUGGAGAAGAAGCGCCGGCUAACUCCGUGCCAGCAGCCGCGGUAAUUC